UUAGAUUUGAUUUAAUUUUUAUUUCCUUCCUUUUGAAUACACUCCUUAAAACUUUUUUUAGGGAUUAAAGUGUUUCAAAUCGUUUACUGUGAAGAAAUUAGAGUGUUCAAAGCAGGCGUAACCUAGCCUUUGAAUAUAUUAGCAUGGGAUAAUGAAAUAGGACUUUAGUUCUACUUUCGUUGGUUUCUAGGGCUGAAGUAAUGAUUAAUAGGGAUAGUUGGGGUCACUAGUAUUUAAUUGUCAGAGGUGAAAUUCUAAGAUUUAUUAAAGACUAACUACUGCGAAAGCAUUUGACAAGGAUGUUUUCAUUAAUCAAGAACGAAAGUUGGGGGAUCGAAGAUGAUCAGAUACCGUCGUAGUCUCAACCAUAAACUAUGCCGACCAAGGAUCCGGGGUUGUUAAUAUGGAUGACUCUCCGGGCACUUAUAGAGAAAUCAUAAGUAUUUGGGUUCUGGGGGGAGUAUGGUCGCAAGGCUGAAACUUAAAGGAAUUGACGGAAGGGCACCACCAGGAGUGGAGCCUGCGGCUUAAUUUGACUCAACACGGGGAAACUCACCAGGUCCAGACAUAACUAGGAUUGACAGAUUGAUAGCUCUUUCAUGAUUUUAUGGGUGGUGGUGCAUGGCCGUUCUUAGUUGGUGGAGUGAUUUGUCUGGUUAAUUCCGAUAACGAACGAGACCUUAACCUGCUAAAUAGCCAGGCCGGCUUUUGCUGGUCGCCGGCUUCUUAGAGGGACUGUCUG
rnacentral:rRNA from 1 species